rnacentral:rRNA from 1 species
ACAGGGAUUGCCCUAGUAACGGCGAGUGAAGCGGCAACAGCUCAAAUUUAAAAUCUGGCUCUUUUAGAGUCCGAGUUGUAAUUUGCAGAGGGCGCUUUGGCUUUGGCAGCGGUCCAAGUUCCUUGGAACAGGACGUCACAGAGGGUGAGAAUCCCGUACGUGGUCGCUGGCUAUUGCCGUGUAAAGCCCCUUCGACGAGUCGAGUUGUUUGGGAAUGCAGCUCUAAAUGGGAGGUACAUUUCUUCUAAAGCUAAAUAUUGGCCAGAGACCGAUAGCGCACAAGUAGAGUGAUCGAAAGAUGAAAAGCACUUUGGAAAGAGAGUCAAACAGCACGUGAAAUUGUUGAAAGGGAAGCGCUUGCAGCCAGACUUGCUUGCAGUUGCUCAUCCGGGCUCUUUGCCCGGUGCACUCUUCUGUAGGCAGGCCAGCAUCAGUUUGGGCGGUAGGAUAAAGGUCUCUGUCACGUACCUCUCUUCGGGGAGGCCUUAUAGGGGAGACGACAUACUACCAGCCUGGACUGAGGUCCGCGCAUCUGCUAGGAUGCUGGCGUAAUGGCUGUAAGCGGCCCGUCUUGAAACACGGACCAAGGAGUCUAACAUCUAUGCGAGUGUUUGGGUGUCAAGCCCGAGCGCGUAAUGAAAGUGAACGGAGGUGGGAACCCGCAAGGGUGCACCAUCGACCGAUCCUGAUGUCUUCGGAAGGAUUUGAGUAAGAGCAUGGCUGUUGGGACCCGAAAGAUGGUGAACUAUGCUUGAAUAGGGUGAAGCCAGAGGAAACUCUGGUGGAGGCUCGCAGCGGUUCUGACGUGCAAAUCGAUCGUCAAAUUUGGGCAUAGGGGCGAAAGACUAAU